GAUGAAGAACGCAGUGAAAUGCGAUAAGUAAUGUGAAUUGCAGAAUUCAGUGAAUCAUCGAGUCUUUGAACGCACAUUGCGCCCCCUGGUAUUCCGGGGGGCAUGCCUGUCCGAGCGUCAUUGCUGCCCUCAAGCACGGCUUGUGUGUUGGGCCCCGCCCCCCGGCUCCCGGGGGGCGGGCCCGAAAGGCAGCGGCGGCACCGCGUCCGGUCCUCGAGCGUAUGGGGCUUCGUCACCCGCUCCGUAGGCCCAGCCGGCGCCCGCCGGCGACCCCCCUCAAUCUUUUCAGGUUGACCUCGGAUCAGGUAGGGAUACCCGCUGAACUUAAGCAUAUCAAUAAGCGGAGGA
rnacentral:misc_RNA from 1 species